rnacentral:rRNA from 1 species
GACGAACGCUGGCGGCGUGCUUAACACAUGCAAGUCGAACGGAAAGGCCCUGCUUUUGUGGGGUGCUCGAGUGGCGAACGGGUGAGUAACACGUGAGUAACCUGCCCUUGACUUUGGGAUAACUUCAGGAAACUGGGGCUAAUACCGGAUAGGAGCUCCUGCUGCAUGGUGGGGGUUGGAAAGAUUCGGCGGUUGGGGAUGGACUCGCGGCUUAUCAGCUUGUUGGUGGGGUAGUGGCUUACCAAGGCUUUGACGGGUAGCCGGCCUGAGAGGGUGACCGGCCACAUUGGGACUGAGGGACGGCCCAGACUCCUACGGGAGGCAGCAGUGGGGAAUAUUGCACAAUGGGCGGAAGCCUGAUGCAGCAGCGCCGCGUGCGGGAUGACGGCCUUCGGGUUGUAAACCGCUUUCGCCUGUGACGAAGCGUGAGUGACGGUAAUGGGUAAAGAAGCACCGGCUAACUACGUG